GACGAACGCUGGCGGCGUGCUUAACACAUGCAAGUCGAACGCUGAAGCUCAGCUUUUGUUGGGUGGAUGAGUGGCGAACGGGUGAGUAACACGUGAGUAACCUGCCCCCUUCUUUGGGAUAACGCCCGGAAACGGGUGCUAAUACUGGAUAUUUACUGGUCUUCGCAUGGGGGUUGGUGGAAAGGGUUUUUCUGGUGGGGGAUGGGCUCGCGGCCUAUCAGCUUGUUGGUGGGGUGAUGGCCUACCAAGGCUUUGACGGGUAGCCGGCCUGAGAGGGUGACCGGUCACAUUGGGACUGAGAUACGGCCCAGACUCCUACGGGAGGCAGCAGUGGGGAAUAUUGCACAAUGGGCGCAAGCCUGAUGCAGCGACGCCGCGUGAGGGAUGGAGGCCUUCGGGUUGUGAACCUCUUUCGCUCAUGGUCAAGCCGCAACAAUGGUUGUGGUGAGGGUAGUGGGUAAAGAAGCGCCGGCUAACUACGUG
rnacentral:rRNA from 1 species